AGUGGGAUAGCUGGGUCAAAUGGGUCAAACAUUCCAAGUUUUCUAAGGAAUCUCCAUACUGCUUUCCAGAGUGGUUGCACCAAUUUGCAUUCCCACCAAGAAU
rnacentral:pre_miRNA from 1 species